UACGAAGGGGGCUAGCGUUGUUCGGAAUCAUUGGGCGUAAAGAGCGUGUAGGCGGCCCGGUAAGUCCGCUGUGAAAGUCGAGGGCUCAACCCUCGAAUGCCGGCGGAUACUGUCGGGCUAGAGUCCGGAAGAGGCGAGUGGAAUUCCUGGUGUAGCGGUGAAAUGCGCAGAUAUCAGGAGGAACACCUACGGCGAAGGCAGCUCGCUGGGACGGUACUGACGCUGAGACGCGAAAGCGUGGGGAGCAAACGGG
rnacentral:rRNA from 1 species